UGAUGCAACCUGACGGUCCGUAAAACAUUACAAUUUACAAGUAACGCCCUUUUUUUAAAUCGAUAUGCAAAUGGGACGCCGUAUGUCGACCUCUCCCCUUCUUUACUCGGCCCUUGAAGGGAAAAAACAAACAUAUCCCUUGCGGCGCCACACAAUGCUCCAGAGCUCAUAGCUAUGGCGAUGGCGGAGGUGUGGAACACGAUGGAUUCGAGUUCCUAUCAGAUCCCCUUGAUAGAUUUCCCCUGUGGGAUCUUACCGGCGGCGACUCCAUACUCCGAAACGAACCCACUGGAACUCUCCUCUGCACACCCUCCGAGUCUAGCAUCGGCGACGCGGGUGAGGCAGCGCUUGGAAGCAGAUUUCAACAGCGCUUGCAGGGGCGCGACACUGUCAGCUCCAACCUCAGAGCAGUCAACUAGCAAAGAUGAUCCUCAGACGCCCGGCUGGACCAAAAGGGUUCGCGUUGGGCAUGCACCAACUGAACGUCCACCAUGUGCUGGCGGGAUAAGUGCCCUGGAGAAAGCAUUGAGAGGUUAUGCAAAUGAGAAGACUGCCACAGUCAUUGUCCCUGGUCCCUGCUGUUGGAAACAAAUUCAAUUCACUCGGGGAGGCACGUGACUUUUAUAAAAAAAAAUAAAAAAAAUGAAACCAACCCAAAGGCUAACCCUCGUUGACUUUUCUUUAUAGGAGAAACUCCAUGACAUGUGUCUUUUACAAUCUGUAUUCCUGGAAAAUUAGGUUCAGGAUAAGGUACGGCAAGAGCACGCAUGUUGAGAGAACAAAAUGCAUGCAGAAGAUCGUUUGUGGUUGCUCGGUACGCACUGUUUUCAAAAUUGUUGGCAAUGUAACACCACACCUAGCGUAUCUUUUGUAUAAUGUCAACUAAAAAAACUCACACCUAUAUGUUUUAAUAUUAUUAUUUUAGCCUAAAAAUUUGGGGUCCCCAAAAGAAGCAACACACAUUCCUGCCGUUGUUCCAUGGAUCAGUGAAGGGCUGUCAGUGGCCGCGAGCAACUCGUGCCGAGAAGUUUGUCCUGAUGUCGUGUCGACGAUUCUUGAUCUAAAUGGUUUGCCAGACAGCUGCAACGCAUUAGUGGACUCCCGGCCAGUCGACGAGCAAAGACGACCCACCGUCAUCAGGAUGAACGCAAAAGAGUUCGCGUUGAACACCGCUGCUGUGCGCCGGGAGGGUAUGUGCACCAGAGAAGACUUUUGAAGGAUUAGCAGAGAAGAAGAGACGCAAUUUAGUUGUUCAUGGAGUUGGGGCUACAUUCGACUCUGCUUGGUCAGGCAUACGACCUGUACAACUUGGUUUUUUUUUUGAAACGUCACCGAGGGGGCAGAAAAGACUGCCCACCUAAAUUUUCAUAUAAUCAGCUCAAAAAGAGCCUGUCAUACAAGGGAGGGAGAGAGAUAGGUGUAGGGAGGCCCCGACACCCUUACAAUCCCCACCGGGGACUGGGAACCAGGAAACUACAGCAAGGUAGCAAAACGCUGCACCCACGAUUCUAAGAUAGUUUUGCAUAUAGUGCGGGAGCAUCUCCAUCUCCAGAGAGAGACAUCGGCAGCGAUGCAGCGCACUACUUCAA